AUCAAAAACAUCACCUCUAGCAUAACUAGUAUUAGAGGCACUGCCUGCCCAGUGACUUAACCGUUAAACGGCCGCGGUAUCUUGACCGUGCAAAGGUAGCAUAAUCACUUGUUCUCUAAAUAAGGACUUGUAUGAAUGGCCACACGAGGGUUUUACUGUCUCUUACUUCUAAUCAGUGAAAUUGACCUCCCCGUGAAGAGGCGGGGAUAAUACAAUAAGACGAGAAGACCCUAUGGAGCUUCAAUUAAUCAAUCCAAAAGUCAAAAAAUAACACCACCAAGGGAUAACAAAAUCUUAUAUGGGUUGACAAUUUCGGUUGGGGUGACCUCGGAGUACAAAAGACCCUCCGAGUGAUUAAAACUUAGGCCUACUAGCCAAAGUGUAAUAUCACUUAUUGAUCCAAACUCUUGAUCAACGGAACAAGUUACCCUAGGGAUAACAGCGCAAUCCUAUUCUAGAGUCCAUAUCGACAAUAGGGUUUACGACCUCGAUGUUGGAUCAGGACAUCCUAAUGGUGUAGCAGCUAUUAAGGGUUCGUUUGUUCAACGAUUAAAGUCCUACGUGAUCUGAGUU
rnacentral:rRNA from 1 species